UCUUCCGUAGUAUAGUGGUCAGUAUGCAAGCUUGUCACGCUUGAGACCCGGGUUCAAUUCCCGGCG
rnacentral:tRNA from 1 species